rnacentral:rRNA from 1 species
CAUGCAGGCGGUUAGACAAGUCAGGUGUGAAAUCCCAUCGCUCAACGAUGGAACUGCCAUUGAUACUGUAGGACUUGAAUGCUUAGGAAGUAACUAGAAUAUGUAGUGUAGCGGUGAAAUGCUUAGAUAUUACAUGGAAUACCAAUUGCGAAGGCAGGUUACUACUAAGUGAUUGACGCUGAUGGACGAAAGCGUGGGGAGCGAACAGGAUUAGAUACCCGGGUA